rnacentral:rRNA from 1 species
GUGCCAGCAGCCGCGGUAAGACGUAGGAGGCGAGCGUUAUCCGGAUUCACUGGGCGUAAAGCGCAUGUAGGCGGUUCGACAAGUCCGAUGUUAAAGCCCCUGGCUCAACUGGGGGAGGUCAUUGGAGACUGUGGGACUUGAGGGCAACAGAGGCACGUGGAACUCCCGGUGUAGCGGUGGAAUGCGUAGAGAUCGGGAAGAACACCAGUGGCGAAGGCGACGUGCUGGGUUGCAACUGACGCUGAGAUGCGAAAGUGUGGGGAGCAAACGGGAUUAGAUACCCCCGUAGUCC